AUUGAACGCUGGCGGCAUGCCUUACACAUGCAAGUCGAACGGUAACGGGCCUUCGGGUGCCGACGAGUGGCGAACGGGUGAGUAAUACAUCGGAACGUGCCCGAUUGUGGGGGAUAACGAGGCGAAAGCUUUGCUAAUACCGCAUACGAUCUACGGAUGAAAGCAGGGGACCGCAAGGCCUUGCGCGGACGGAGCGGCCGAUGGCAGAUUAGGUAGUUGGUGGGAUAAAAGCUUACCAAGCCGACGAUCUGUAGCUGGUCUGAGAGGAUGAUCAGCCACACUGGGACUGAGACACGGCCCAGACUCCUACGGGAGGCAGCAGUGGGGAAUUUUGGACAAUGGGCGCAAGCCUGAUCCAGCCAUGCCGCGUGCAGGAUGAAGGCCUUCGGGUUGUAAACUGCUUUUGUACGGAACGAAAAGCCUUCUUUUAAUACAGGAGGGUCAUGACGGUACCGUAAGAAUAAGCACCGGCUAACUACGUG
rnacentral:rRNA from 1 species